rnacentral:rRNA from 1 species
AAAGAGACCUUUAGUUUGAAACCCCGAAACCAGGUGAGCUACCCCGAGACAGCCUAAAUAACUUAGGGCUAACCCGUCUCUGUGGCAAAAGAGUGGGAAGAGCUCCGGGUAGAAGUGACAGACCUACCGAACCUGGUGAUAGCUGGUUGCCUGAGAAAUGGAUAGAAGUUCAGCCCCGCAUACCCCAUACCAAAAACAUCAUUAUAAGGUUUAGGGAAAUUUAUGGGAGUUAGUUAAAGGGGGUACAGCCCCUCUAACAAAGGAUACAACCUUUACAGGAGGAUAAGGAUCACAAUAUUUAAAACACACUGUUCUAGUGGGCCUAAAAGCAGCCACCUAAACAGAAAGCGUUAAAGCUCAGACAGAAAGAAGUUUAUUAUACUGAUAAAAAAUCUUAUUCCCCUAAUAUUAUCAGGCUAUCCCAUGCCCGCAUGGAAGAAAUUAUGCUAAAAUGAGUAACAAGAAGACCUGAUCUUCUCCAAGCACAAGUGUAUACCAGAUCGGACCAACCACUGGAAAUUAACGAACCCAAACAAAGAGAGUACUGUGAAUUAUAUAAAAACCAGGAAAAUCCCACAACUAAAUAAUCGUUAACCCCACACUGGAGUGCUAUAAAUUAAGGAAAGACUAAAAGAAGAGGAAGGAACUCGGCAAACAUAAGCCUCGCCUGUUUACCAAAAACAUCGCCUCCUGCAAAAGAACUAAGUAUAGGAGGUCCAGCCUGCCCAGUG